rnacentral:rRNA from 1 species
UGUACACACCGCCCGUCACACCAUGGAAGCUGGUCACGCCCGAAGUCGUUACCCUAACCGUUCGCGGAGGGGGACGCCGAAGGUAGGACUGGUGACUGGGGUGAAGUCGUAACAAGGUAGCCGUACCGGAAGGUGUGGCUGGAUCACCUC